AGAGUUGUGGCUCAGUGGUAGAGCACUUGCCUAGCAUGCAUGAGGCACUGGGUUUGAUCCCCGGCACUA
rnacentral:tRNA from 1 species